UACAGGGGGGGGCAAGCGUUGUUCAGAAUUACUGGGCGUAAAGGGCCAGUAGGCGGCCAACUAAGUCCGACGUGAAAUCCCCAGGCUUAACCUGGGAACUGCGUCGGAUACUGGAUGGCUUGAAUUCGGGAGAGGGAUGCAGAAUUCCAGGUGUAGCGGUGAAAUGCGUAGAUAUUGGGAAGAACACCGGUGGCGAAGGCGGCCAUCUGGACCGGUACUGACGCUGAGGCGCGAAAGCUAGGGGAGCGAAUGGG
rnacentral:rRNA from 1 species